UAGGUAAUGGUUAAUCAAGAUACAGUAAAAAAACCUUCCAAAAUAUCCAACAUUUAACAUACCAGCCAAAAGAGCAGGGACUGAUAAUGCAGACCAAGUUUAUAAUGUUGGAAAAAGCCCAGCAUCUAACAUGAAAUAGUGAAUUAUCAGCCAUCCUCAGAUUAUCAAUAAGUUGAUAAUGUACUGGUCAACCAUGUAUUACAUGAACUAGGUUACCUGUUGUAAAUAAAUAGAUAGUAUGGAACUGUUUCCACUAAUGCAUCGUAAAUUAGUAGACCCCAAAGAAACCAUGCUUUCACAUAUAUAUUCAACAAACUCAAUUUCAUUCUCGUCCACAGCAGCAGCAGUUGAGGAAGACUUGUAUAGAAAGUCUCCAGAUACAUUCAUUAAAAUCUGAAAGAUACUACUUAUUGCCGAAUCAAAUUCUGAAACCGAAGCAUCAAUUGUUCUUUUCCUGAAAUAUCAAUUCACAGUUGGGAACAUAUUUUAGGGAGCUUAUUAUAACAUUAAAGUAUAAGAAAGAAGAAGAUUAUUUGGCAUUCAGCAAACAAGGUGAUGCUUACCUUGAGGAGAUAAGUUUGAAAAAUUCACAAGCAUGAAGACGGAAAUCAACGGCUGAAAGCAAAAAGCCACACCUAGAAGCAAAAGAAUCUCUCAAGUCAUGGACAGUAUAAGGAGCUGAAAAGAAAGAGUGAUGCAUAAUUCUAGUAAGACUCUAUGAUAUGUCAUACCCAUGAAUUAUGCCAAAUUUAGCUAGAUCAGGCAAAGGAGCCCAGUCAGCGUAUGCAUUAAUCGCAUUCAAAGUAGCUGUUACAGUUGCAGCAUGCUCUUUCGCUACAUCCAGUUGUUGCCUACUCGCUUCACUAAAUGCAGCUCCAAAGUGCCUUUCCAGUAGCUGCGUCAAAAGUUGAGGCAUUGAAAUUAUGGUUAACAAAGGAAAAGAGGAGAAUAUGGUGGGGGUGAGAUCAGAGUCUUACUGUGUAUAGCAAUGGCAAAAUUUCUGGUAAAGACUGGGUAAGGCCCCUUAAUAAUAGGCGACGUCGAUCACCUGAAAUGACAAUGAAGUCAUGCGAGAAACAUGUACAAAGAUAUAUAGCUAUUAAAGAUUACAAACACAUAACGUGUUAAUUGGCCAAGAUUAAAUAUAGACAUUGACUGUUAAUCCUCUAGGUUUAGAAACUUUAUGAGAAGCCCACAUAUCAUUUUGUUUUCCUUUUAAAAAAAUAAACCGAAAGAUCAUAAGCUUCUGAGGAAAGUAUUAUCCAUGAAUUAUAGGAUUUCCAGUGCUAAAAUUACAGAAUUCCCAUGUAACAUAGAAAGUAGACGAUAAAGUAAUGCCUUCCUACCUUCCAGAUCUUCAUUGUGAAUGGUAAUGUCUUCAGGGAGCCACCUCAACAUCAUUGAAACCAACUCAGCCUAACACAAGAAUGAAAAACCUAAACAACAACUUAUGUGUGCCUCCAACAAGAAACAGCCAGGAAACAGCAGCCCCAGGAAGCAAAAUUAUUAAUGAACAUACCUGCACAGGACCUUGGUUGGACAGGGAAAUCAAAGAUGGAAGCAGUUCCUGCCAAAGUUCUAUCCCUUCUCUUCUAACAAUCUUCACAAAGGUCAACAUCAGUACAAACCAGGAAAGAACCAACUAUAGAGAUUUUAGAGGUAGCAGUGAAAGUAAUGUUGUCAGAACCUCAGCAACAAGUGCAGCUUUUUGACUCUUUAAUGGCCAUUCUUCACUGGGGUUUGUCAUUUCAGACAUAAAUUCAACAGCUACAUUCGCAAAGUUUUUACGCUCUAUUGGGCUGAGUUCUUCCCAACGCAACCGGACUAAAUGCUGCAGAACAUACACAAAUUCGACAAUGCACAAGUUGAAACACAUAUCGCUGCUGAAGUGCCCUCGCCACCGGUGUACAAGGCGAUUAAACGUGAAGAUUCUUAAUACCGAUCUCGCAAUUCAUCUAGUUGAAAAUUAUAUAACACAAAACAGCACUCAGAAGAACAAGGGCACACACCUGCAACAUCUUGUAAGCUUGCAACCGAAUUUCGGAAGACCAAUCCCUUUUAACAAGAAGUACUGAUGUGCUUGCCAACACUCCUACAUCUCCGGUUUUAACCUGGAAACAUCAAGGACAGGAUCAAAUAAUCAUAAACUGAAGGGAAAUUCUCAGAACAUUUGAAGUCCUUUUCGUGUAGCCUGAACAGCAAUCUGAGGCUAAUCAAUACCAAAACCCAAGCCACACAACGGCGCAAUGCGCAAUUUGUGGAACCCAAAUUGAAAGCCUUCAGCCUCUAUUGAGUGGUGAUCAUCUUGAUGGACACUUGAGGAGAAAAGUUUUCUAAAAUUUUCCAACUCCCAUCGUCACUACACGCCAUGUUUGUUUUCAGCACACAAAAAAAUGUUGCCGCAAGAAUCCAUCAGUAUCCUUGUGCUAAACCCUCCCAAGUCUCAGUUGAUAAAAAAUAAAAAUAAAAAAUGCAAUUCGAAAGCCAACAAAGUUGAGUAAACCGAUGAUCAUCUAGUAUUCGUGAAAGAAGAAGAGAAAAGAAGUUGAGGGAGGGAAAGAGGGCUUACAGAAUCAAGGAAAGAAACAGCAGCUUUGCGAGCAUCUGGAGUGGAGUUCCAGUCGAGAGCUGCAACGAUGGCAAGAGCCACAUUGUUUGCUAUACCCAAACUGCUAUUUGCCUCUUCCAUCUUCUUCUACCCAAACCAAAAAAGUUGCAAAUGUUGUCUGGGGCUGCAGAUAGAUAGAGUAUAUUAAUUGUGAUGGUGAAGCAGCAAGCAAUUGUUGUGGUGUGGAGGAAGAAAUGAAGAACGUGGCUUGGGGUUUCAGGGCUUGCUUUGCCUCUUUCGGUCAUUUUAUAUAUAUAUAUAUAUAUCUGGCUGCGUCGCAAGUUUUAAAGGAGACAGAACCCGAAACAGAAAUACCAAAAUCAUUCAAGGCCUCAAAGGUUACCAACUCUUCCAAAAGUGAAUUUAUAAUGGGAUGCCAGUCAGGUGAUGAAUUCUUUGGUGUAUUUGGUAUUACGAAAAUAUUUUUUUAUUGCAUCUACGUCUACGAUUUCUACAUCUGAACAGAUCAAAUUGGGAUUUGGCUGUGCGAAAGAUUCUAACUUGAAGCACGGCUGGAGAAGAGAAAGACGGUUGUGUCCUCCUUAGUGCUUGUUGGAUCUAGAGCAGCAAAAAGAUCUCAUCAUGUAGCUAGUUUCGAGACAGUAAGGCGGAUUGGGGAUUCCUGGGUCUCUAUCGUGUGGGUAACCAAUGCAUAGUCCAUAUCUCAAAUAUUUCACGAUUCCCGACUUUGCAUUCAUGGACGGAUUCUUAAGGUUCCUAAAGAGAGUAUGAGAGUUGUUUGGGUUGAGCAUGUUAUGCGCCCUAUUCCGCCAGUGCUUGUGUUCUCUUUGAUUUUGAACAUGUUGUGUUUGGAUUUGAAGGGGAGGUGUCUCUCAAAUGGUUUUGAACUCGUUGAAUUUACCCUUUGUUAGAUUGUUGUGAGUGAGUCCUUGGGUGUGUUUGGCAUAUCCAUUACUAAACCUUGGUCUUGAGGAAAUAACAUAACCAUGAGAUCAAGGAACUCUGUUCCAAGAAAGCAGAGCAAAAGUAUUAACUCAAGAAAUAGAGAAGAUAACAUGUGCUACUAACAUUAAAGACACGUAGCACUGUUUCUUCAAAAUCCAGAAGUAGACAAGUCUAAAAUCUAGUCAAUAAGAAAACAAACAAUUCCACAAACACAUAGGCAUUUUACAUGUAGAGAACAACUGACUUGUUCAAGAUUUUGACAAAUUGACAAAUACCCUCCUUUCUUUUCUCCUCUCCCCAAAACUGUUAGAAGAAAGCUCAAGCCUUCUUUCACAAGGUGGAUCACAUCCUCACUCAUCAUUCUUCUUCUUUUUCUUCUUCUUAUCCUUCUUGCUAGGCGUCUCUGAUUCUUCCGCUGGUUCAGAACGCUUUCUCUUCUUUUUCUUUUCUCCGUCCUCCACUUCAACCUGUGCACCAGCAGCUUCUUCCUUCUUCUUAGACUUCUUCUCCUUCUUUGCUGCACCGUCGUCAUCUUCUUGUUCAGCAACUUCAGCAUCCACAUCUUUGCUCUUUUUCUUCUUUUUCUUUUCCUUCUUCUCUUCGGUAGCUGGAGCUUCCUCAGCUGGUUUUUCAACCACCUUCUUCUCAAUGGUGUCUACAUCCAUUGAUUUAGGUGUCUCACCAAGAACAGCAUCCGCAGAAGGAUUAUAAGUCUACAAAAGAACAAAUAGUUAGCACCCAUAGACAUAGUUUAAAAGCUCACAGCACAAAGGUGUGUAUAUAGAAAGACCAACCUUGGCAGGAGUUAUCAGUCCACCAGCUCCCUUCUUUCUAUCCUUGUCAUAAGGCUCAAUCAAUGGCUUGCCUUUAACCGAACCCGCUGCACGACCCAGUUCCUUGCCUUCGAGAUUCCUUAGUCGAGCCUCAAGCUGUACAAGUUCAAAUGUAUAUGAAUUCCCCAUUCCGACAAGGAAGAAGUUAACUCGGUAAGACAUGUUUUUAAAUGUGUACCUUGACACGGUUCUCCAAUCCCAUCGAGUUAUCUUGGCCAUCUCCAAGAGCAUCAUAUCUAAUUGCCAGAGAAGCUUUAGCAGCAAGGGACCUAGAAAUCUUCCCUUUCAUCUUAGGUGGAGCUUGGCCAACCAGAGAAGCAUGGUAUAUUAAGCCGUAUUUUGGAGUCGCGUGCUUUGUUUUUAGAGCUCUGAAAAGGGCCUUUUCUGCGCCAAGGAUCUGAACUGUACUGCCAGGCUGCUUGGCAAGAUUCAACAAGCUACCUCCAUGGGCAAUUAGGCGUGCUCCAACGAGCUCUCCGACCAGAGCAGUCAAGUUAGGUGCGAUGGUGUUCAUCCUACUUUUCAGAUAAUCAUACAGCUGAGCCCUGUAUUCAGAGAGAGACAAGACCUGGUCACAUAGUUGCCUGAUAUUUGUCAAGUCAUGUUCACUAAUUUCAGUCCCCAUUGAUAUCAUGGCUGCUUCCUUCACUUCCGACUCAACUUCUUCAGUUAAUACCUGCAAAAUUAUAAAACAUCAGUGGUAAACCAUAGAGACGUUCUAAAAUUUUGAAAAACAGAAGUUAUAACUCCACUUCUGGUCAUUCUUGACUUUGAUUGCAGAAACAGAUGAGGAAUAUACCUCAGAGAAAUCAAGUUUUGCAGCAUUUUCACGGAAACCCAUCAGUUUCACUGCUUUAGCAUAGACUAUGUUAUCUUGCACAAUCUUUGCAAGCUCUGGAAAAUGCCAACCAUACCAUUCCCUGACUCUCAUGGCAUAUGUAUUAAGUUCCUUAUCAAGAUCAUCAAGUAAGCCAAUUGCUUGAAUAAUCAUAGUGUCAACCUGCAAUCAAAGAAUAUAGGCAUCAGGAAAACUGAAAAUCUGACAAGUACAUCAACAAAUGCACUGUACCUGAGAUAGGAAAAUACCUUAUCAGGACUGAACUUAAGCUUGUAUCUAGACAGGCUAUGAGACAGACCCAAGCUCAUUGGAGCCAAAUCUUGAUUCGGCAGCCCAGCUAUCAGUUCAGUUAACUGACUUCUCACACCUCUCAUCAAUUCCAUGACAGCAUUGUUGUGCACACAAUCUAUUUUCUGAAAGCCAAGCAAGCACUCUGAUUUAGAAAAAGACUGAUAUAAAACACACCAGGAUCCAAAGUCGUAGUAGAAGCAUACCAAUUUCUCCUUGAUUGCGUUUCCAAGCUUUGAGUCGGCCACAGCCAAUUGCUCACUUCCACAGUUAGCUUUCAAGAACUUGCGCAGAGCUUUUGUGGUUGAUCCAUCAAUGAUUUUAGUUGCAGCCUCCAAAGCCUCUGCCGUGUUCCCAAACUUGUCAAAUGCUUUCAGCUUCACCACCUAUUUUGUUAACGAGUAAGAGAAAUGUGCAUAAUAUAUCAAAAACCAAACAUUACGAGAAGAAGCUAUCACAGAGAACUUAGACAGAAACAGAAAUCUCAAGGCCAUGUAGCAAAGAUAAUAACCUUUCUAGCUGUAUCAGCGUUAGAGAAAUCCUUCCACAAGUCCUGAAACAAAAACCAGAGUUAAAAAGAUAACCACAAAUACAGAAUAAAUCUUAUUGAUCAAAUUAACAAUGCCCAAUAACAUAUAGAAAGCUAAAGUUCAAAAACUACAGACUGAUAACACCAUAAACAUACCUCAACUUUGGAAAGCUUCCCUUCAUCCAAAACUUUAAAAAGGGCAAAACCCGCCGGAGUCUCAAACAACACUAACAUUUUCCUUGCGUCCCCGAUAAAUCCUGCAUUUUCACAAACAUAAAUAGAGAAAAUCCACUAUUAUUUGCCAGGUGAACAUUCUCAAGCAGGCACUUCAGAACAAAUAUCAGCCGUCGUCACAUGUUGCCAAAGCCGAAAUACGAAAACAGAAACAAGAAGCCCACAAACAUUCACUACAUUACAGGGGUUAAAACCUAGAGGGAAAGGGAAGAAAAGAUCCCAAGUUUGUUCUAAGGUAGAGAUUACAGAGAGCACAAACCGGAGAGGUAAUAUUCUAAACCAGUAUGAUAAUUUUCAGCAGUGUAUCCAAAAAAGAUGAAGCAGCGACCUGCUCAUGCGCAAAUAAGACCUACCUCCUUGAACAAAGCUAUGAAGGCUUGCAGUUGCAGAGACACCGUCUAGGGUUUUAUGAAUAAGGGUUUUGCGGAAGAGUUUCCGCAGUUAGAAUGUGGCUUGUCUUUUAUAUACGAAACAGGGAAUAGAUUUUGGUGAAUUACAAAUUGAUACUAUAACAAUCUAUUGUUUACAAAACAAGGCACGGACUUUUUAGUUCCAAGAGAAUAUUAGUUUCAUGUAAAAAAAGAAAAUAUUAGUUUUUAAUCUUUCAACUACGUUCGCAAUCUCCUAACCUAAUUUAAAAUGUUUUCAUAAUAUUAAUUUUUUGUUUUCACCUCAAUUGGUAUAAAUAAAUUAUUUGAAAAAAUUAUGAAAUCAUUUAAAAUGAAUUUGUUCAUGUUUGACAUAUGGAGAAAUUCAUUUUAAAUUUCACAAAAUUAAAGUUAGGCCUCAGUGUUCUUCCCGCUAAGAGCAUCCCAUCAAUAAAAUUUUAUUCAUUUGCAAAAUAACAUGGAGCCAAUAUAACAAACUUUUGCAAUUCAAAUUAAAAUAUCAUGAAUGAAAAAAGUAACUUUUAAAUAUAAAUUUACAUUUUUCGUAAGUCAGAAUAAUAAUUUCAUUUGGGGCCACUUAUUUCAUAUGUAUUUUUUAAUCAUUUUGAACCCACUUUUUACACAAAUAUUUUUGUUGUUGAUAAAAUAAUAUAGGGGUCAUUUGGUAUAGGUGAUAUCAUAUCAAAAUAUCAUGAUAUUUGAGAUAUCUUCGUAUUUCAGAACGUGAAUAUCACGAUAUUCAGAGAUAUCAAUAUCGCAAAAACAUGAUAUUCAAUACUCCCCGAAAAAAAGUAUUGAAUAUCAUACUCAAAUCAUUUCGAUCAGUCGGAUUCGCCCCUAGACUUGUUCAAAAUUACAUGCAUCAGCCAUUAAGCCCCACAUGUCGGCCUGUUUUGGGGGAAAUUGGAUACCCUCUCUUUUUCUCUUUUCACAUCCUCUCUCUUCUCCUCUUCAAUAAUAGAUGUAAGGCCUACUCCUCCCUUUCUUCUAUGGAUUUUGGUAUCGACGACGGAGAUGAAGAUGGAUGACGGGGUUGAAUACAAGAAGUUUGAAGACGUCGGGAUGAAUCCCAUGGUUCAAUGACCCUUUCUACUCACCACCGCUGCCGACAAUGACGAUCCUGACACCCGCUCUCUCUUGCAAUCAAAGGAAGAAGACCAAUCAUCUCUACCUACACUUAGCUUCUCUCUUUCCCUGGUUCGUAUUCUUUCUUCCCGGCAUCUUUGAUCGACGGGAUUCAAAUUUUUUUCCCUCUAAUCAAUCCCAGUUUCAUAAUUUCAGUGCCCUAGUUUUUCCCGGCGAAGAUAAGGUGUUCGAAGACAAUGAGUUCGAGGAGACGAACGGUGGAGGGAACAUACCUACGACGAUGUUGCCUCCUCCGUGAUGACCCUGGUAUUCUCUACGAUUAGAGUGUUGUUGGAUGCUUGAAAGUCUUCCUCCACAGUCAAAGUAUGUCCUUCUUUCAUAGUCAAAACGUAAUUUGAAUAUGGAUUUAGGACAAUGAACUUGUUUCAUUUUUGAAUUGGCUGCUCAGUUUAGGGUUCGGUUUGGGGUUUGGUCUUAGUGUUUAAUCUGCAAUCUCCUUCUUUGUAUUUAGUAGCUGAUAUAAGUUUGUGGCUGCCAAUUUCUAUAUUCAAUAUUGUCUCUGUUAUUAAGAAAUUGAAGUCUGUGGCUUAUUGGGGAUGAAUAUUUUUCAUGUCUGGGUUCAUAUGCAUUGAAUUUUGGUGAUAAACUUGUGGAAACUGGGUGUUUUUUACUUGUUGAUGGAAAUAUUAUGAAGGUCAAGCUUAGGUAUCAUAUAUCCUGAAGGCUUUUGUUUAGAUGAUAGCUACUCUGUUUAUCUCUUGUUUCAUCAUUUUAAUCAUCAGGUUUCCCUGCUUCCAAAACUUUAUUCAUAUACUAGUGUUGAUUUCUAGUCGUUCAGGAGCUCCUGUUUGACAUGGUGUUGUUACGAAGGCUCUUUCGUCAGAAGAUGUUGAGGUGGCUGCUGCAUUUUCGGGGGCUGCUUCUAUUUGUGAUCUCAAUUUUUACCCCUGCUGCUUCUGUUCAUUCAGUUAAAGUUUGUUUUGCUGCAUUCUUUUCUGUGAUGCAGUUGUAAUGUUUAUGGGUUGAUGCUGAUGCAAUUUUGAUAGGUGUUGCCCCAAAAAUUUUCUUUUUACUGUCUUGGAUUGGUUCCUUGUAACUUGUUUUUCUUCCAGCAAGGUGUUGCUUGGUCUUGCUUGUUUGUAUAUAUUUGUACAAUGUUAACUACAAGAAAUCUGUCACAUGUCGUCGGUCGAAAGUCGGAUUUGCGGUCGGUCAUCAACCGACGACAUAAUAUUUCACAUCAGUCGAUAAAACGACAACGACGCUAAAUAAUUUACCAUUGGUUAAAAGUCGGGCGACGGAAAAUACUGACGUCGAUCUGGUCAACGUAUCUUGACCGUAACUUAACGUCGGUUGGAAGUGACGGC
rnacentral:lncRNA from 1 species